rnacentral:rRNA from 1 species
AUACGUAGGUGUCAAGCGUUAUCCGGAAUUAUUGGGCGUAAAGAGGGAGCAGGCGGCAGCAAGGGUCUGUGGUGAAAGCCUGAAGCUUAACUUCAGUAAGCCAUAGAAACCAGGCAGCUAGAGUGCAGGAGAGGAUCGUGGAAUUCCAUGUGUAGCGGUGAAAUGCGUAGAUAUAUGGAGGAACACCAGUGGCGAAGGCGACGAUCGGGCCUGCAACUGACGCUCAGUCCCGAAAGCGUGGGGAGCAAAUAGGAUUAGAUACCCUAGUAGUCCACGCCGUAAACGAUGAGUACUAAGUGUUGGAUGUCAAAGUUCAGUGCUGCAGUUAACGCAAUAAGUACUCCGCCUGAGUAGUACGUUCGCAAGAAUGAAACUCAAAUGAAUUGACGGGG